GUGGGGAAUCUUGCGCAAUGGGCGAAAGCCUGACGCAGCCAUGCCGCGUGAAUGAUGAAGGUCUUAGGAUUGUAAAAUUCUUUCACCGGGGACGAUAAUGACGGUACCCGGAGAAGAAGCUCCGGCUAACUUCGUGCCAGCAGCCGCGGUAAUACGAAGGGGGCUAGCGUUGCUCGGAAUUACUGGGCGUAAAGGGCGCGUAGGCGGACAGCUUAGUCAGAGGUGAAAGCCCAGGGCUCAACCUUGGAAUUGCCUUUGAUACUGGCUGUCUUGAGUUUGGGAGAGGUGAGUGGAACUCCGAGUGUAGAGGUGAAAUUCGUAGAUAUUCGGAAGAACACCAGUGGCGAAGGCGACUCACUGGCCCAAUACUGACGCUGAGGCGCGAAAGCGUGGGGAGCAAACAGGAUUAGAUACCCCAGUAGUC
rnacentral:rRNA from 1 species